GACGAACGCUGGCGGCGUGCUUAACACAUGCAAGUCGAACGGAAAGGCCCUGCUUUUGUGGGGUGCUCGAGUGGCGAACGGGUGAGUAACACGUGAGUAACCUGCCCUUGACUUUGGGAUAACUUCAGGAAACUGGGGCUAAUACCGGAUAGGAGCUCCUGCUGCAUGGUGGGGGUUGGAAAGUUUCGGCGGUUGGGGAUGGACUCGCGGCUUAUCAGCUUGUUGGUGGGGUAGUGGCUUACCAAGGCUUUGACGGGUAGCCGGCCUGAGAGGGUGACCGGCCACAUUGGGACUGAGAUACGGCGCAGACUCCUACGGGAGGCAGCAGUGGGGAAUAUUGCACAAUGGGCGGAAGCCUGAUGCAGCAACGCCGCGUGCGGGAUGACGGCCUUCGGGUUGUAAACCGCUUUCGCCUGUGACGAAGCGUGAGUGACGGUAAUGGGUAAAGAAGCAGCGGCUAACUACGUG
rnacentral:rRNA from 1 species